UGGGGAAUAUUGCACAAUGGGCGAAAGCCUGAUGCAGCGACGCCGCGUGAGGGAUGACGGCCUUCGGGUUGUAAACCUCUUGCAGUAGGGACGAAGCGCAAGUGACGGUACCUGCAGAAGAAGCACCGGCUAACUACGUGCCAGCAGCCGCGGUAAUACGGAGGGUGCGAGCGGUGUCCGGAAUUACUGGGGGGAAAGAGCUCGUAGGCGGUUUGUCACGUCGGCUGUGAAAUCCUAGGGCUUAACCCUGGACGUGCAGGCGAUACGGGCUGACUUGAGUACUACAGCGGAGACUGGAAUUUCUGGUGUAGCGGUGGAAUGCACAGAUAUCAGGAAGAACACCGAUGGCGAAGGCAGGUCUCUGGGUAGUAACUGACGCUGAGGAGCGAAAGCAUGGGUAGCGAACAGG
rnacentral:rRNA from 1 species